rnacentral:rRNA from 1 species
ACUAAGGAUCGGAUGGUGUUAUAUUUUAUAUUGACCCAUUCGGCAUUUCAGCGAAAGCCAAGUUUUUGGGUUCCGGGGGGAGUAUGGUCGCAAGGCUGAAACUUAAAGGAAUUGACGGAAGGGCACCACCAGGAGUGGAGCCUGCGGCUUAAUUUGACUCAACACGGGGAAACUCACCAGGUCCAGGCAUAGUAAGGAUUGACAGAUUGAGAGCUCUUUCUUGAUUCUAUGG